UGGAGGUUAAUAUUGCAGCAACCCCGAUAAAACUGCAAUGUGAAGUCAGUAGCAUACACUGAAGCUAUUCUGUGCCCCAUUACAAAGAAGCUGGACAUUGAGAUAGGUAGAAAAAUGGUUAGGCAGCUAAGUUUUUCAAAAAUUACUGGGAAAUAAUACUUGUGCAUUGCAGGCAAGUGAACUUUUCACUACCUUAGUUCUUACUGGUUGUCCUUCAUGUCAUGUCCUGUCUGUCAUCCAUGGGUUUGCAAGUGAAAAAUGCAGUUCCUAUUCCAGCUCUCUGUGUGAACCCAAUCCAGAGGGAACAUUUUGGGACCAUUUCCUAUGUUUUGGGCAGAAUAGAAGCCCAAACAGAAGUUAAAUGAAGAGAGAAAUGUAGCCACCCUUUCUGACCCAAGAGGAGGAAACAGGUUUGUCUUCAGCUUAACAGCCCAAGAUAUUCCUAUGUCAAGUUUGGAGUCCUGAUCAAUGGGAGAUUCUUGCUUAUCCAUCAAGGUGAAGUCUGAUCUCCAGCUCUUUCCCUGGCAGUGCCUCAGGCCCUAUUCUCUGUUGCUGCUUUUCUGCAGACUCACAGCAUCACCUGGAGCCUGCUGAGAAUGCCACCAAAUGAAGGAGCAGCAAGAACCCACUGGUGGAAGAGCUGAGGUCUAAGCUUGCUGUUUGAGAGAGAGAACUUCAUCUGAGGAACAAAGACACCAAGGCACAGAUUGACAAAACAAGAUAGUACACAGAAAAGCUUGGCAAAAAAAAAGUCAUCACAGGCUGCACUUUGGAACAAGAUAAUCUGCUGUCUUCCUCCAUGACUGAUAGAAGAGGUCACAACAGCAACUCUACCUGUCUGUCAGAGGUAUGAGGUCAGGGACAGGGCCUCAGCUUUGUACCCCAAAUAAAGCUCCUGGUAAAGCAGAGAAUAGAGCAUACAGCUUCUCUGCACUGUGGUGCUGUGUCCCCUCACACUCUUCCCCCAGUUCUGCCUUUGCUGCCAAACAAGACAAGGAAUCUUGAAAAUGCUUUUUAGGUAAACCUGAUGGACUUGGAAACUUUCCUGAACCUACUCAAGCUAUAACUGGUGUGACACAGCACUGUGGAGCCUUGUAUCUGUCUCUGUGGGGGAAAAUCUGAGGCUGGAAAAUCUCAAAUAUAUAUGGGAAGAAGCUUGGAGGCCUCCAAUCCAAAUAACACCCACAUGUGAAAAGGGAAAAAAAGCUCCUGUUUGCCUUGUUUGAGGCUUGGGAAAUACUCUUAUCAUUCAUCUGAGCAGCUGGUGACAGCAGUGCUGAAAUGCUGAAGAGGAGCAGUGUAAGUGCACCAGCCCUGCCCAUGGGUUUGGCUGAGAACAAGGCAGGAUGAUGCACUGGAUGCCUUCAGAAACUCUUGCAUCUGCACGAGAAAGCAACAACUUCUUCCACUGUACAAGAGAAUGCUGACAACUCAAUUUUGGUCACUUGCUGCCAAGCUCAACUUGCAACAGUCAACUCACGUCAGACUGGAGGAAGUUUUUAUGUCCAGGCUUGCCAUUUGCAAAUCCUGUCUGUUGAUCCUCUAACAAUGUGGAUCUGUGAAUCUGCAAGAUCCCUAUCACAGGAACAAAGGGCCUCGAUCCAGUCACUAAGUGCUACAACAAUUGCUAAAUAGAAAAGUGGCAGCAGUGCCUGGCAAAAAUAUGGCCACAUAAAAAGUCCUUGGUCUUACAUUUACAGUCAUCAUUGCCAUAAGAUCAAACCUCAGCACUGGGGAAAAACUGGGUAAGAGUCACAGCUGUUUCAAUAUAUAAAUUAUUUAUUUGAAUAAAAAAGGGACCAGUGCUAGUGAGAGUAAAACUGAUGCAGAGCUAUGAAGGAAACAUGGCAACUCUCUUUCUUCUGAAUGCCUGAUAUUGCCCAAGGUGUUAAUGCCCCAGUAACCAUAACAACUCUGCUCAAGCCCUUUCCUGCUUUCCAUUCAUCACAGUAUAUUGAAUGGGAUACCAUAUACUGGCAUUGUAUCUCUUGUUUUUCACCAGCCCUGUACUGGGAUGACUCUAUAGCUGUCUGUCAUACUGCAGGUAUUUCUUGCUGGUGGUCCUGUUCUGGCAGAAACUUGGAAGAAAUUAUUCAUCUUGUACUUAACCCAGUACUUGCAAGUUAUUUUCAGAGUAUUUUUAAUAGUCUUAUUUUCUUCAUCAGGUCUCUCUCUGAUUAUGUUCUACAAGUAUUCAAAGUAGCUUCUUCUGAAAACUCUUCCUGCACCUGUAUGAUAGUUACAUUAACUCACAAGGAUUGCAGUGCCCAAAACACGUUGACUCCAGCUGGAUUUUUACUUGUCUAUUUUUCUUAUCUUAUUUGCACCCUUGCAUGAACUACAGUUCAAUGACUGCAAUUUGAGCACUCCUUCCUAUCUAGCUGAACAAUCUUCCCCAACACACCACCAUCCUGAUGUGUAAUCACUCAGGAGACAUAAUCAUUCACUUAGAACUAAAAUAAUUCUCCCACCGUUUGCUCCUUGCCUCCAUUCUGCCCUUUUUCUCUGAUUUAUUGCACUAUAUUCCUUAUGGAAAUAUUUUGACAUCCAUCCCCUCUAUUCAAGUCUUAUACCCACCCUUGAAGGGAGUGCUUUGAACAGAGGAAGGCCAGGAUGAGUGUGUAUCUCAUAUACUCACCCUUUUAUUCCAGUGUCAUUUCCCCCACCUCCUCAUUAUAUUCUUGAGUCCUUCCCCUCCUUCUAGUUUAGCUGUACCUACUAUCUCUCCUAGAGCUGAGUGCUCCCUUCCCUCCCCUGCCCCUCUAGUAAAUGUCAGAAAAUAUUUCCUCACAGCCUCUGCUACUCAGGAUUGUAUCUGAAUAUAGGGAUCCUGAACCCCAGCCUUGUCUAAGCUCUCUAAAUCACUUGACCCCAAAAAGGUUGCCACAGGACAGCACUUACCUACAGUGCAGGCUGGAGAGAAAGUGCUGUUAAGGCAUUGAAUUCCUCCAGCUCCAAGAUCUGCAGCUUAUUUAGACUGCAAGAAAGAAUUUAGUGAGCCAGAGCACUGAAUUUGUUACUCGUUAAGCUUAGUCAAAAUUACUGUGAAAUUCCUUAAUUAAACAGCUCAAGCUGAGAAGCAAAAUGCUUUCUAAUCCAGCCACCACAGUGCCCUACUCAGUCCUGUACCUUUGCCUCUUCUUUCUUGCUGCCCUCAGGUUACCUCAUGUGCUGCCUGUUGGUUUUGCUUGCUAGAGUGUCCCUUGAACCCCCCCUCCACUGCACCGACAAGCAGGAAGCUCUUAAUGCCAAGUACUGACCUAGUGGUGUGCACCAGCCCAGGCUGGAAGUGCAUCUUGAAUUUCUUGCUCCCCCGGGAGCAUUUGAUUAAAGGAGGAUUUUCAUGGUGUGUUGAGAUUCAGAACGUGGUGCUAUUCAGUAGCUGCUGGUGGCAGCUCUGAGCUGGAAUACACACUGGGGCUCCACUCCCUCUGUGAUGAUGAACUGAGUCCUGGGACAAGGAAUUCUGCACGAUUUUUCCCCAGUGUGCAGAAGAGCACAAACAAGGCCAUGCUCACACUUGCUGCCAGGCUGCUGUUCCUGUACUCGAGGUUUCACAGGCCUCACCAGAUUUUCACUGAUUCUCCACAGAAGGCUUCCACACCCACUCUCUGAUGUGUCUCUUACAGCUAAAGAACUCGAAUCAGCUUCACUGUUAUUUGAGAUGUGUGAGGUCAGUUUGGAAACACUUGGAAAAUGAGGACAUUUUGUGAGAGUCUGCACACCUGCACAGGGCCCAGACCAGCACCUGCAGGUGCAGGAGACCUCACAGCACAGAGUGCCUUUUACAGGCCUCAACAGGCUCAGCCUAACUCACACACAUGUGCUCCUCAGAGUGCUCACAGGAAUACACAAUCUAAAUUAAUUUCUGCUAUUAUAAACCUUGAAAAACUUCUCUAUAGCCCAAGAGAUGGUUCUGGAGUCACAGCUCAGAUGUGUACAGUUUUAAAGAAUACAGUCCAUAAUUUUUUUCUUUCUUCUCUUCCUAGUGACUGAAGUUUUAAUUAAUAAAAACUAUGCUCACAAUGGAAUAGGAAAACAGAAUAUUUUAAAGAGAGAUAUUUGCUUCAGGAUAUUCUUCUGGCUGAGAAGCUGUAAACAAGACACAGUAGCAAAAAUACAAGCAAAGAAAAACAACUAAAAUAAUUAGAUCAGCUAUAGUACUAAAUCAUUUUGAUGCUGAAUUUGGCUCCUCUGAGUCUAAACCAAACCAACUGUAUUUAUUUCAUAAUCUUUAUUUUUCAAUUUAUUUAUCCAUGGUAAAUAUAUCCAUGUGUAUGUGUUUUCCCUCCAAGAAUCACUGUGUCUCCAUCAUGAGGAAAAUAAAAUAAAACUUUUUAAAUUACCACAAAAUUUUUCAAUUUAUUUAAAAUAAAGUCUGUGAGAGGGGUAUUCUAGAGCUCCAUUAUACAUAUCAUAUAAACGAAGCUUUCCCUGGCACAUUUUUCCACAACUCCUUAUGCUGCUAACUUGUUGAAAAUUGUGCCACUGUUUAUAUUAUUAACUGGAGCCCAGGAUUACAAGGAGCUGUUGAAGCACUCACCCAAGAGACCAGCCAGAAGACAGGCACUGCAGUGGAAGGAUUAGUGAGCAGGAUGCUCAGACACUCAUUCCAGCUUGGAGUGGCCACAGCUGACUGCAGUUACAUCUGGCCAUGGGAUGUGCACCUCUCCGUGAGAAAGCUGUGGAUACUGAAAAGUUAAUGAAGGCAUUUUCCCGCUCUGCAGGAUGUAUGCUGUUCCUUUCUUCUGUGCUGAUGCACAUGACUCUGUAUCUUGUGCAAGCAGUCACUGGACACACAAACCAGGAAAUGGAUGUUCAAAGUCAUUGUAUUAUUAAAUGGGGAUGAUAUCAAAUUUAAUUAAGAGAUAAAUAUACCCUUACAAGUAAGCAAAUGUCAUCAGGGGAUAUCAGUUACACUUGCAUAUAUUUCCAGUCACAGGGUGCUUUAAAAUCCUCCUCAUUUAUGGACAGUAUGUUUCUCUGAAAUAGGAAAACAAGGUUUUUUCAGGUGAUGCAUGAAGCAAGAGUUCAAACAACUUGACUGAAGAGUAUCAGCAAGUAAACUAAAAAUAUAUCCUACCAAUAAAAUCCUUAUGGGAGUAUGUCAUAAGGGUGGUGUGUUUGCAGUUGGGUAUAGGAUUCAGGGGGCCCCCAAUGAGGGGAGACAAAUGACGCAUCUGACUCCAUGGAUAUCAGAAGGCUAAUUAAUUACUUUAUUAUGCUAUAUUAUUCUAUAUUAUAUUACAUUACAUCUAAACUGAAUCUGUCAAGCACUGAACUCUGCACACAACUGCACUCCACUUGUGACUGUCAGCCGACAGUCCCGACACACACACACACACUUGGCCCUCAUAGGGCAAGGAAACAAAACACCAUCACUUUGGGUAAACAGUCUCCCUGUUGCAUUUUACUUUUGCACAAACACAGGCACAGCAAAUGAGAUAAGAAUUGUCCUUCCCUUCUCUGAGGCUCAGAGAAUUGUGAAUUCUCUGAGGUUCAGAGAAUUCUGUGAAUGUCAGAAAUAUUCUUGGGAAGAAUUGUGCCUUGCUUUUCUCUGUGAAGAGAAAUGUGGUGACAGUUGGGUUGCAGGAAUUUAAUGGGCAAGGAGUUGAAAACUAUGACCAAGACGGCUGGCUCUUGUAGCUUCAUGCUUGCUUUGCAGUCUGCAUAAAAAAUUUGGAAAUUAUCUUGGAGCUUCACAUAGUUAUCAGUUGUGAGGUGUCCUAAUGACUGAAAGUAAGGUGUUUCAAAGAAACAAGUUGAUGAUGAUCCAGGUGUUCAUAACAUGCAUGUGUUUGCCUUCUCAUGGUAUUAUCAUUACAUAGUCUAAAUUUAGACAACCUCAGACAUUACAAAAAUCAGUGUUUGCAUUGCAAUUAUAAAAUUUCUUACUUCUAAAAUAUAAAGAUUGCAGAACAACUAUAUCAGAGAGCAGACAAUAGAAUAUUUAGAAGAAGGAAGUAAAUAUUUUGUUUAAAUUAUUUUUGGGAAAAGCUUUCAAGGGUUUUGAAAAAGGCAGUCCUUCUUUUUGACCAUGUGGAGCUUAAAGGGUCAUUGACCAAGUUCUACCAUCGCUACAUUUGGACGAUAAACUGUGGGAGCUCACAAAAUCCCAGGCAAGGAGAUUCCCCUUACUUUGGAAAUCUGUAGAUUUUAGACAUAUUUUUCCACAGCACUUUGUGAUAUCAUGUGUCACAGUACUUUGUGCCAUCACUUACAUGGGUGAAGACUGGCAGCAAUCUGACUACUCACUUUGAACUGAGCAACCAUAUGAGAUGCUGACACAGAAAAUCACCCUUUGAUUUCUCAAGAGUUAAAUUGCAUCUUCAAACCAUGUCAAGUUCCAUUUGGAGGAAGCUAUGGUGUUUUUCUAGUGCAUUUCUGCCACUGGUUAUUCUUUCUCUUUUUGUUUCUUCAGAGAAGAAAUGUCUGCAUCCUAGCUGCUAAUGAAAGAAGAGCAUAAUUCUGAAAUGCUUAGUCACUUUUAUACUUUUUUACUGAUGCUGGGAAGAAGUGACAGAAUCCUGUAGUUAACAUGAUUCAAAAGACAAGGGGGAGGAGAAGGUGGAGAAGGAUUAUAUAAAAUAUAUUUAUAUUGCUUCUACAACUGAAUUGUUUUCAGUAUAGUGUCACGCUCUCAGUGUGGGGGAAUUCUGCAUGUGUCAUGAUUCUACAGAUGUUCCUGCACACUACAUGCAGCUGCACUAUUUGUCAUGGGCAAAUUUAAUAGCAAGAUGCUUGUUUUGUGUUCCCUCUAAUCUUGGUUCACAAAAACAUGGAGGGGAAAAAACCCACUACCUGACAGCUUGCUUGCUUCCUUCUUUAUAUAGCCUUUUAAAACACUUUAAAACAAAUACUGGGAACACCCUUUUUUUUUUUAAUUCUGUAACACCUGCAAUUACAGCUCUAUUACCUUUGCUAGAAUGAUCUUGUUCUUUCUAAUGUUUAUAAUGCUAAUUAAAUAAUUUUAAGUACUUGAAGAGGUCAUAUUUCUAACAGUGGGGGUUCUUCAAGAGCUUGAUCCUUCAAAAGGGAGAAUAAUUUCUGCUAAGUCCUGAGUAUGCUCUGUUCUCAGUGACUUGCAGGUGAAACCCAGAAGCACCCCAUAAAGCAACACAGCAGAGCCAAGUGCUGUCAGAAAUUUUACAGAGUCAAACUCAGAGGAGCUUUUCUACUCCUAUCAUUUUAAAAUCCUGGAUCCUCUCCUUUAGGUAUUCUCUGUCAUGAACUUUGUUGGUCUGUGGGCAGUGUGUUAGAAGGAACCAGACCCUUGGGUUCCAGCUUCUUGCAGAGGUAUCCAGGAAGCAGAAUAAAAUUCCGCAAAUAGAAAAGAGAAGAAAAAAAGAAAUAAAGUGAUGGGGGAGAUGGACGGGGGGGGGUGUGCUUUCACUUGGACAGCCUAUAAUAUGCUGAAAUGCUGAAAUAUGGGUUGUCUAGUUAGUGGCAAGGGAUGUAACUGAAGAACUAGCAGUGCAAGGAGAAAUUUGGACUUCAGAGAACAAAACUGACAGGUGAAGUAGAAGCACAUCCAACCACACCAAACAGGACAAAACUCAAAAUGAAGGUAUAGCUUACAGAAGGUGUUAAGAGUGUUACACUACCAGUAAGUGUAUGAACAAAAACCAGAUGUUAUAAAUGAAAAAUUCAAAUUUAAUUACUGCAUCUCCUACAGUACAAGAAAGACAUUAACCUACUCCAGUGGAGGCUAGAGCAGGAAGCCUGUGAAAGAGAGGCUGAGGGCACUGUGGUUCUUCAGCCUUGAAAAGGCCAAGAGGGCAGGGGGAUCUACUGCUGUCUGGAAAUACUUCACAAGAGGCUACAAAGAAGACAGAGACAGGUCUUUCUUAGAUGUGCACACAGACAGAAAAGAGACAAACUGCAGAAGUCAGACCAAGAGAUAUUCUGACCAGGGAUAAAUGGUUUGAUUUACCAUUUAUCAUCUACCAUGGUAAAUGAAAAAUCAUUUACCGUGAGGGUAGUGAAACACUGGCAGAGGAUCCCUGGAAAGCUGUGACUCCCUCAUCUCCAGAUGACAAGGUCUGUAUAUCCUCUUCUGGAGACUAAUCACAUUGAGUAAUCUAGUGAUCAUCUAGAUAUUAAUAUCUACUCUUGUAACAUUAAAAAAUAUAUGUAUUUACAAGUACAGCUGAAACUCUGAGUUCUUUUAAAACAUAAAAGAAAAGAUGGACCAAUAAGUUAUUUUUUCUUACCACUGAAAAAUCACAUUUUCAAAAUAAAUGUACCAUUUAUGUAAAAUUGUAUGGGAGGUACUUUAAAGAAUCUUAAAACUUGUACAUGGUAAAAACUGCAUAUAUGUAAAAUACACAGUCAUGUAUCAAAUUGAUGGAAAAGUUCUUGUUUGUAGGAAGCUGAUCAGAUAAUUUUGGAAACGUGUAACAAGUGCUUCAGUUAUUAAAGGUGUGCAUCUGAGAACACAG